GGCGCUAUCAAUUCCCGUUUGGGCUUCUACAACUAGGCUGUGUUUUAAUAUGAACGUCAAGAUAUGGAGGAGAAACAAAGAACUUCCGUGUUCCUCAGCCAAGUACCGAGAUGGUCACCAACCCCAGCAAGCAGGAUGCCGAACAUUGGGAUUCCCACGAGGGCGAAACAGAUGCAAAAGAGCUUCCCUCCAUCUGACUUGGGGGAGAUGUUUCCAUAGCCUGUACAUGUCAUGCCAGAGGUAACAGCACCUCCACUGGAACCGUCAGCAGCUUCCACAUGGAGUUGCUGUUACAUCCAGCGACAACCAAUGGGAUCGUCGAUGACACGGAGGAUGACGAUCGCCUCACACGUCCGCUUUCCUUCAAAGAGAGAGAGAGAUGGAGAAGAGAAAGCUGAGAGCUCAAGCGAGGACCUAGAUUUAGUAGCCGGCCGACGCGGCUCCGCUCCCAGGCGACUUUGACCUGACAAUUUCCUCCUCCUAGAUUUUACAGCCUGAAAUAUAAACAGCAUCACUGCUCGCACUCCUCCAACAGCACGGCCAAAGGGCCAAGGCCUGUGUAGAUAACACAGGUUUUAUGGCCGCUGUCAACAUGAAGGCGAGUAUAAGGGUGUGUCUGACCUGUGUACCUGCAGGCCCCGCGUUUCCUGCUCACUCUGACAUUGGUCUCAAUAAGCUCUUGAUAACUAACCUGCUUUGUAGGUUGAGCUAGAAUAUUUGGGAUAUAUUGUAGUUUAUAUUCUAACUUGGAAAGUUGCAAAAAAAAAAAAGAAGAAGAAGUCACAGUUAGAAAUAUGACUCAUUCGUCAUGGAUCAAUAAAGCACUAAAAGAGGAAUAAACACCAAAGAAGACAAA